UGCCAGCAGCCGCGGUAAUACGUACCGGACGAACGUUGUCCGGAUUUACUGGGUUUAAAGGGUACGUAGGCGGCGAAUUAAGUCAGUGGUGAAAUGUGUCGGCUCAACCGGCAAAGUGCCAUUGAUACUGGUUUACUAGAGUGUUGUACAGGUGGGCGGAAUUGAUGGUGUAGCGGUGAAAUGCAUAGAUACCAUCAAGAACACCGAUUGCGAAGGCAGCUCACUGGGCAACAACUGACGCUGAGGUACGAAAGCGUGGGGAGCGAACAGGAUUAGAUA
rnacentral:rRNA from 1 species